rnacentral:lncRNA from 13 species
CCUAGCCAAUGUUGCUGUUGGAAACUUUGUGAAACAUAAAAUGUGUCAGUUGUUAAAGAAGCAGAAAUGACAUGAACAUUAGAAGUAACAUUAUUAACAUCUCCUUCAUCUCCUUGCAGUGAAUUACCCUCGCCUGGCUUCUGCCUCAUCUGUUCCAUACCAAAUUAUAUCUACACGGUUCCUGCUGUCACAUACCUGCCUCAGGCAAAGCCUCCUGUUUGGAUUUUUCAUUCUUGUAUUUAUGGUUACCAUGAGCCUUGAGGUUGACAACAAUUUAUUUUUUAUUUGAUGAUAUUGAUGAUUCUCAUAUUCUAAAAGUUUGGGAGAAAAUUACGGUGAAUUUUUGCAAGAAUUCAGAGAAUCAGAGGCCUGAAGGGCCAGGAGAGAGAAAAGAGGCAAGAUUUUUUAUUGGUAAGUUUUUUCAAUACUAUACAUAACUUUUUGCAAUCUUAAAAUAAUUUUCUGAAGGAUUAUUACAUUUAACACUAAGAUUUGGUAGGAAAGGUAAGGAAUUGUUCUGCAAUGAAUAAGGAAACAGAAACAGACAGUGGGAAAGCAACUCAUCUAAAGUCACAGACAUAAUGGCAGCACUGGGGCUACAACU